CCAGAGUCUGCCCACUGGAAUCUGGUCAAAAACUGGACUUUACCUUCCUCUCCCUGACCCAUGGAGAGCUUUGAGAGAAGUUGACCACAGAGCCAGUGGAGGUCUUGAGGAUUAGGUUCCAUUGACUCCCAAGAUCAGGCCCAUGGCACUCUUUCUAGAUAGCUCUAGAAGAAGGGCAUGUCAGGAGGACUCAGUCCUCAUCUCUUGAAGCCAGGUGAGGAGGACUCGCUCCAGUUCUUGUUCGGAAGUCGUAGCGGAGGAACACAGCGACUUGUGCAUCUUCGGUUGAACGCCGCUCCUCCUCUGGGAGAAGGUUGCCUUCUACCAAAUGGACUUCUUCAGGAGGAUGGAAUGGGUACUUGCUUAGCCGGCCAGAUCAGCCAAGUUGACUCAACCCUGGCGAUCGUAGAGUGACAGAUGGUGCUGCUGGAUCACCACCAUGUCUUAUUUUAGAUCCUUGAGAGAAUGGAACUCCGGAAGAUUCAAGGACCCGAGGAGAAGAGAUCAGGUGCAAAGGAAGAGUCACUACAGAUGGGAGUAAAGGGUCGGUGUCAGAAAUGGAAACUCCUGAGCUGUGGGAGCCUGGUCUUGGCUAAAGGAGACUGUCAGCCAGUAGCUAGGGAAGGAAUAGAGCACUUGUGACUAGAAGAAAUUAUGGGCCAAUUUCCUGGCACCCAAGACAGAGCUUCCUCAGGAGAUAGCUAACAGAUGAAGUCCAGGCAUGCCAAUGUCGAAAGGAAAGGGCACCCAGCCCAGGAAGGCAGAAUAAUGAAUAUUCACCAACAAGUAUCUGAUCAACAAAUGUCUGUGCCAAGUUGCACCCCUCGUUGUAGUCUGAGGUACUCUAGGAAGGUACAAUACCUACGCUCGCUGGCGACCAUCCUUUGGAAGGCACCGAGGGGCCAACUGCACGGCCACGAGGCAAGUGAUGUGGUAUAGGACUCAUCUAAAAGGGAAGUCCAGGGGCAACAAUCAGCUUGAGGUAAAGACCACAUAGCAGAAGAUGCAACAGCGACAUUAAAAAU
rnacentral:lncRNA from 1 species